UACGUAGGGUGCGAGCGUUAAUCGGAAUACUGGGCGUAAAGCGUGCGCAGGCGGCGCGUUAAGACAGGUGUGAAAGCCCCGAGCUUAACUUGGGAAUUGCGCUUGUGACUGGCGUGCUGGAGUGUGGCAGGAGGGAGGUGGAAUUCCACGUGUAGCAGUGAAAUGCGUAGAGAUGUGGAGGAACACCGAUGGCGAAGGCAGCCUCCUGGGCCAGCACUGACGCUCAUGCACGAAAGCGUGGGGGAGCAAACAGG
rnacentral:rRNA from 1 species